CUUUAUAUCCCACAUGGUUCAGAUAAAAC
rfam:Caldisericum exile AZM16c01 DNA, complete genome.